rnacentral:rRNA from 1 species
UACGGGGGGGGCAAGCGUUGUUCGGAAUUACUGGGCGUAAAGGGUUCGUAGGUGGCCAACUAAGUCGGACGUGAAAUCCCUCAGCUUAACUGGGGAACUGCGUCUGAUACUGGUUGGCUUGAGUGCAGGAGAGGAACGCGGAAUUCCAGGUGUAGCGGUGAAAUGCGUAGAUAUCUGGAGGAACACCGGUGGCGAAGGCGGCGUUCUGGACUGUAACUGACACUGAUGAACGAAAGCCAGGGGAGCAAACAGG